GUCAGUGUGCCCGAGUGGUUAAGGGGACAGACUCGAAAUCUGUUGGCGAUUCGCCGCACAGGUUCAAAUCCUGUCGCUGACG